rnacentral:misc_RNA from 1 species
UAGAGCCAGUUUGCACUGAGUCAGCUU